rnacentral:ncRNA from 21 species
GAUGAAAUGUAUAUUUUAGGUUCUUAACUGGAUUAAUAGGGAAAGAGGUGAAAUCCCUCUACAGCCCCCGCUACUGUAAUGUUGACGGAACUCUCAAAUACCACUGUGAUAAUAAAUCAUGGGAAGGUGAGAAGAUGGAUGAUACUAAGUCAGGAGACCUGCCUAAGGUAUAAAGUAAUUU